GAGGAAUAUUGGUCAAUGGGCGAGAGCCUGAACCAGCCAAGUCGCGUGAGGGAAGAAUGGUCUAUGGCCUGUAAACCUCUUUUGCCAGGGAAGAAUAAAAGGUACGUGUACCUUCUUGCCAGUACCUGACGAAUAAGCAUCGGCUAACUCCGUGCCAGCAGCCGCGGUAAUACGGGGGAUGCGAGCGUUAUCCGGAUUUAUUGGGUUUAAAGGGCGCGUAGGCGGGACGCCAAGUCAGCGGUAAAAGACUGCAGCUAAACUGUAGCACGCCGUUGAAACUGGCGACCUGGAGACGAGACGAGGGAGGCGGAACAAGUGAAGUAGCGGUGAAAUGCUUAGAUAUCACUUGGAACCCCGAUAGCGAAGGCAGCUUCCCAGGCUCGAUCUGACGCUGAUGCGCGAGAGCGUGGGUAGCGAACAGGAUUAGAUACCCUGGUAGUCCACGCCGUAAACGAUGCUCACUGGAUCUUGGCGAUACACCGCCAGGGUUCAAGCGAAAGUAUUAAGUGAGCCACCUGGGGAGUACGUCGGCAACGAUGAAACUCAAAGGAAUUGACGGGGGCCCGCACAAGCGGAGGAACAUGUGGUUUAAUUCGAUGAUACGCGAGGAACCUUACCCGGGUUUAAAUGUAUUUUGCAUGAGGUGGAAACACUUCUUCCCUUCGGGGCUAGAUACAAGGUGCUGCAUGGUUGUCGUCAGCUCGUGCCGUGAGGUGUCGGGUUAAGUCCCAUAACGAGCGCAACCCCUAUCGCCAGUUGCCAUCGGUUCAAGCCGGGCACUCUGUCGAGACUGCCACCGUAAGGUGCGAGGAAGGCGGGGAUGACGUCAAAUCAGCACGGCCCUUACACCCGGGGCGACACACGUGUUACAAUGGCCGGUACAGAGGGCAGCCACGGGGUGACCCGGAGCGAAUCUCUAAAGCCGGUCGUAGUUCGGACUGGAGUCUGCAACCCGACUCCACGAAGUUGGAUUCGCUAGUAAUCGCGCAUCAGCCAUGGCGCGGUGAAUACGUUCCCG
rnacentral:rRNA from 1 species